UCCGUCCGCAGGCUUCGCUGGCUGACCGUGAGAUCCCGAGGCCGCCGGCCCCGCAGGCUUUCGUCCUGGAGGGCAGCGACCUUCUCCUCAAGGGCACCUCAGAGUGCCCGCUUCCUCGCAUUACUUAGGAAAUGUUGAAUGAGUGAAUGAACAAGCAGCGGUCUGUCUUCCUCAUCAAAGUGGAAACUCUGGAAGGGGAGAGAAAGCCUGCCUGUUCACCUCUGUAUGCUUGGCACCAUGGGAAGGAGGGUCUAGUUUUUGUGGAGCUGAAGCUUGUAGCGUUUGGUCUGCCCUUUUAAAGACAUAUAAAAUACAAAAUCACCAAAGCCAGGGCCAAGAAAGUCUUUGUAGAGGUGACCAUGUCUGGAACAACUCUUGGCAGGAGCCUUAGUUGACCUCCAGUGCAGCCUGAAUGGAGCCGAGCAUCUCAGGUAAAAAUAAGUGUUGUACAAAGUUGCAAUUUUUAUGUAACUUUCAUACUCAGUUUAGCUCAGUGUGUGUACUCAGCACAUAUUUACCCAUUAAAUUGCAACCAAUCAGAUGGUCAUGACACUUCAGGGUUUUUCCCUCUCUGCUUAUCAUAUUACCUGUUCAUUCUUCCUGUUGUUUAUUUUGGACAAAGCACCUUCCUGAUGUCAGAUUUCCAUCUCAUUGAAUUGUGGUUAGGCAUUAAGUUUAAUAACACCAUUGAAACUAGAUCUUUUGUUUUCCUCCACAGGCUGGUUUUUGCUGCCUCAUUUCUUUAAAUGUUUAGCUCUUAUGCUCAGAUUUGCUGAAUCUAUAUAUUUUCACAGUAAAGACAUACUGUGAAACAUUUACCCAUUGAAUUGUGGACGAAUAAGGUAGGAAGGGCAUUUCAGACUUACUCUACCUAAACAGCUCCCAGCCAUGAUGAAUAUACCUGUUUGCAGGGGGAGCUUGAUUAGUUAACUCAUUUGGAUUGUGAGGUGAUGGUGACCUUGGGGAUGGAAAGAGAGCUGAGAGUUGGGUCUAAAAGAUUGGGGUCUGAUCAUGGAUUCUGCUGCUUAGAAGUGGGAGAUUUGGCCAAGUCCUCUUACCUGUGCCUCCCUUUCCAUUUCUUUAAAUGGGUAGGAUCAGACUCUCCUUACCCAUAGACUAGUUUUUGGGAUUUUCCAUCUCUCUGGAGAGAACAUGCUGUGUGUUACUGCUGCUCUUCACUAGCUGCCCCAUCGGUGGCUCCAGGCUUUAGUCCCUAAACCACUCAGCUCUCUUGUAUUUUUAGUCCUUGCUUGCAAAGGACAACCCUAUAAGUGCUUACAGGAAACUGAAAAUCCUGAGCAGGUACUAAGAUCAUUGACAGAGGAGAGAGCAGCGGCCCUCUUUUGUCAAGGUGAAACCUUGGUCACAGUGGGAAGUGCGUGGCAACGUGCGCUGUUCUUUCCCUCCCUGUGGCCAUAGAGGCCAGAGUGAAUUUCCCAGUAGGGCUGUGUGGCCAGACUUCUUUGCCAUAUGUGCCCCAGCAGCCCUUGGCAGUUGUUGGGCCUGCAUUGAAUGGGAAAUCUGCUUGAUAGCCUACCAGACCUUCAGGAAAAAUCAAAUCUAGUGUUUGGUGCACAACCCUGGACCUUUUCAGUUUUUCAAAGGACUUUGAGUUCAUGUUGUUUGGGCGGGAAUGUGGAUGCCCAGGUAAGUGGACAUUGGCCAGAGCCCUGGCAGCUGAGGCCACAGGACAGAGCCAGAGAUGGGAGCCAGGAAUUUUGACCCCAGUCUAAUGGUGUGUAUCCCCGCUGCCCAACCCUAGCCACUCUCCGGCCAGAAUUCCCACUAUACUUUUAACCCAAAAUUUCCUUGACUUCUGAGUGGCUACGCAUUUCUUCUUCUUGAGUGAGUACUGCAUUAAUAACCGAGGACUGAAUGGGAUUGGAGCAGAAAGGCCUGAAUUUGAAGGCCUCUUACUAUGUGGACUUGGGCAAGUUACUUAACCUCAGUUUUCUCAUUUCUAAAAUAAAAUGCCUAAUAUUGGCCUUACGAAGCUGUUCUGUCGCUGAAGUGAGAGCAGGCCUGCACUCCUCCCGCUUCCCCCAGUGUGAAAUAACAGUCACCCGACAGAAGGGAACUAAUACAUGGAGCAAAAUAGGACCUCUUGGCUCUUGUGUCUGGGGAACACCGGGUGGAGCUGCUUCUCUGUUUCUUACCCAUAACCCCCAGGGACUACUCCUGAGCCCUCAUUGUGGCAUCAGAGGAUAAGGUUCCUCAAAGGCCCAGGUGGUCUGUCUUCCCCACUACGUGGGCAGCACACGGAUACUACGACGGCCAUCCCAGCAGAACUGGGGUGAGGGUGCUGUGUCUCAGAGCAGGAGAAAGGGACACCAGACACCAAAAAGGCUCCCAGCAGCGCUUCACCCAGGGCCUGACCUGCCUUCCCCACCUGGCGCUCUUCAACUGUGUGGCGAGAGAAAGCUAGACUUGGAGGGGUUUGUAAUGGCAGGCUUUGGUGUGGGGAUGUGUCGGAGGCACCUCAUGGGGCAGCACUGCCAUUUGUUUCCCUAUUUAUAAAUGUGCCAGAGGCCAGGGGAAUUGGCACCCGAGAGCCCAGACCCCGCAAAGCACCCGACUGUAGCCCGGGCCAGCGGGGCCAAUGAGAAGCACUGAACAAGGCACUCGGUGGCUGCCGCUAGGUGCCAGGCCACCUCAUCUAGGCCUCAGUUUCCAUGUCAGGAAAACUGAGCCUUUAGGCUAGACAUCGGCAGCGAUCCUUGUAAGCAGAGGUUUUGAUGGCCUGUGAGGUACUCGCCAUCCUGAGCUGUUGCCUAUUUUCAGAGGAGGUAUGGAGAUGAGUUUUUCUUGGUUUAUUAGACAUUGCUUUUGUGAAAACUAUGUCAUCUACUUUUCCUUACCCCCAAAUCAAUAAUGACUUUUAUUGUAUCUUAAAGAUAUGUCACAGAUAAGUCUGAGAAAUCAUCCAUUAUCUGGCUGUUUCUGUAGCCGUACAACUUAAGUCUCAUCAGCCUGCUGAACUGUUCCUUUUUCAGAAACAUAGAUCCCAUCCAAACAUUUCCUCAUAUCCUUGUUUUUAACUGUUGUGGCUUGCUGAAUCAAAGCAGCUGAAUUUAUACAAGUUCACUGUCAUUUCCUUCAAGAAUUAACUCAUCUUUCUGGGCUCGAAAUGCUGAACAAAUGGUGCCUGGCCUCCAAACCCUGCAAAUGUAUUUUUCACCCAAGAAAUUUUGGAUUUCAACAAGAGACUCACAGCAGUGUUGAUGGGGAAGUGAGCACGCACAGACCUCACUUUGUCCGGGAGCCCGGAGUAGCCCCCGGUCGUGUCCUGCACGCGAGUGCAGAGAGUGAACAGCAGCCAGUUCCUUUCUACUGCUCCACCAUCUGUCAGCCUGGAGGCCCUUUGCUUUCCAGGGAGACUGAGUUCCACAUCGACAUGAUGGAAUCGCUCGACAGGCCUCUGGGCCCUUCUCGACAGCAGCUCGACCCUUCAGGGAGGUGGCGCGUUUCCUGGAACGUCUGCAGUCUGGCUGCUGAGAAUGGGCUUCAUCCUGGCAGUAGAUGCGGCGGAAGCACUUUUACUUUGUAAGGAACUCAUUAUCUUCAGUUCCUGGCUGAAGUUCGAAUUCGCCAAGAUCAAUGGCUUGAUCUGCAGGUCUCUGCCCACGUUGAGACCGUCUUCAGCUGCCCUGUGUAAAGAGCCCACGCUCUGUUUCUGCCUUACCUUCUUUUUAGACAUAACGUGUCAUGUGUCUACUUACUCACUGGAAUGUGUGUUCCAUGAAAACAAAGACUUGGUGUUGUCUCCCAUGGACUCCGUAGGUCUGGAGCGGUGCAGGGACAUAGAUAGCGGUAAAUGUUUCUUUCAUUCACGAGUCAGUGUUCAUCUACUGUGUCGCUCGGCUUUCCCUUUGGGAGCUGUCCGGGCUUUCCGUUCUAGAAAUGUGUAAUUCUAACAUGACUUCUAAAAUUACACCUUAUACACUUACAACUUAACCAGUAGCCGGAGUAAACAUUAAGUAGAUAGUAGCUUCUGUUUUAUUCCUAAGGUUCAGUGCCUACCUCAGGGCAUUUAUACUUUAGUGCAGAAGCAGACAUGAGAUUAGCUGGGACCCAGGCACAAGCGCCAGCCCCCACCCCUUGCCAUCCAUCCCUGUCUCAGACAUAGCGCUCACCUUGUGCGCAGGCUGUAUGGCCCAGAGGCAGAGCUGGGACCACCAGAGUUAUUAUCCAGGGUGCCUGGAAAGAGACUUACACCAGGGAUUGCGUGUAAUCCUGCUUCCGUGGGCUUUCAGACGAGGGAGUGUGGUUUGAAGAAGGAAUAUCUAACAGCAGGAGCCAAGGGUCAGAGAGAAGCUGGAGAUGGUCAGAUAGGGCAGGAACAAACUAGGAAGCCAGUGAGACAAUAGAACCAAGACUGUUAAGGGAGCCUGAGUGUGUCGAGUCACAUGCACUUUUUUUUUUCCUUUUAAACAAAUGCAGAAACCCUUUUGCAGCAGCAGUAAGGAGCAACUUUGGCCACAGCCACGUGAGGGGCUGGUAAGAGAGAGGUUCAUUAGCCAGCCUGUCCUUGCCCUACCCUUCCCCCUUUUUGAGGAGCCUCUUUGAAGGGAGCCGUAGGGUCAGAGACGCACAGGUUAGAGACCUCUGCACCACUCUAUCCCGGGCCUCUCCCAGCUCCCUGCUUUGGGUCUCUGUGGCUCGAAAUCACUACAUGUGGCUGUAAGCAGAACCCUAGGGGAGAGACUUUUCGGGGUAUUCGUAGUGAUCCCACGUGUAGAUUACAUUCUGACGUUAUCCUAGCACCUAUGAGGUCUGCAGCUUUGGAAAUUACAUUUAGGCAGUAAUUGAUGUAUCCCAGCACCCUCUAAGCAGCCAACACCUGGUGUGCGUCAGGGACUGAGGACACAGCAUGAUGAGCCAUGCGUCAUGCUCUGAGAAAAUGCAGAUCAAGGAUAACUUAGUCCCCUGGAAAGAGCCAGCGGGAUCCUCAGCGUGCAGGUGAUAAUCAGUGUGGACUUUGAAGGAUGAGAACCAUUCCGCCAAAGGAAGGGGGUGAGGACAUUGCUGGUGGAGGGGAGAGUGAGCACUGUCCCUGUCACACACGGGGGAGCAGAGACCAGGCUUGGGAUGGCUGGAGCACUUUCCUGAGGAGGCCUGGCAGAGGUGAGGUACAGGAGAUGAGGCUGUGCUAGAUCUGGGUGGCCAGAGCUGGGUCCCAACUUUGGCCCCCAGGCCAAAUCCGGGCCAACUGCUUAGCUUAGUAAAAGGGCUUUUGUGGGAGUGUGACUGUGUUCUUGUCUCUACAUGUAGCCCUGGGGCUAUUUGCUGUAAUGGCCGAGUUACGGAGCCUAAAAUUUACUAUUUGACUCUUUUGAGAAAAAGUUUGCCAGUCUUGGGGUGAGAGCAUCGUCAGCAGUACUGAGGAGUUGGAGCUUUCUGCCCUGAGCUGUGUGAGCAGAGACGCAGAUCCUGCUUGGGCUUUAAAUAAUCAGCACUGAAGAUGGGAUCACGACGUGGCUCGUGGCCAACACAGGAGAGCUGGGAAGGAGGCUGGUGCAGUGAUUCAGGUGGAAGCUGAUGUGCUGGUGACAGUAGGGAGGGACAGAAGACAAAGAUCUACUUAGGCAGGCUCAACAAAACGUAAUUAUUGGGGCUAGAAAGAGCAGAGGUAGGUAGAAUGAUUCCUACUUUCUGGUUGGAAAGUUUAAAAGCUAAUCUAUAGCACAGAGAUGUCUUAGGGUUGGACUUGCAUUCCAGUUACUUGUGCCUCCUCUCAGUUCUGACAGCUGAGAAGAGAUGCAGGGGGCCAGGGACAUAGGAGUCUGUGCACACCUGGUAAGCCUGGAUGGAGAGCAGGGCUGGAAUCCUGUGGGUUCUCCAGUUUUGUCAUAUGGACAUCUGGGGACACGAGUCUAUAAAAUAGACUCAAGAGCCUGUGCCCAGCCAGCUGCACGGAAGCUUGAGACCUGCCUUACCAGUGCAGCCAGCGCUGAGCUGUGCCCUCUUAUGCCAGAAACACAGGCAGCCCCACCAGCCUGCCCCGGGACUCAGCAGGGCCUGUUCAGGAGCCAGGCUCUUAGGCAGAGUCUGCUCUUGAAGGAAACACAUUUGGUAGUAAUGAUCAUGUCACAUUCUAGAAGCAUGGUUCUCAGGCACGGUUAGGUUUCUCUGUUUUAAGAAAAACUGGCACACCGGACAGAGGGAAGCUCCUCUCUCCUCAGUUUCUAGCUGGUGGGGCCCCAGCAGUUCAGUGGAUCACCACUAGGAUGGGGCCGCUGCACCGGGGCCCCUUGGGGACAUUUUUAAUGAAUUCUUCUGUCCAGGGCCUGGGUCCAUCUUGCAGACUUGAGAAUCAGACUUGUCAACAUUCGGAGCAUGGAACCAUUUGGCAGAGCAGAUGCCGACUGAGUGCUCGCCAGCGUGUGUGCAGCCAGGGCCCAUUUCCUCACCUGCUCCGAGCAUCAGCUAGUUCUUGGGAGGAUCCACAUUGUGGAGAUAGUUAUUUUUGAGCUUCUGCCAGAGAUCGGGACCUCUGUUAAGGAGCUCCUGACCUCGUUUAAUUUUUCUCUUGGGAGCAUAGAACUAUUAAGUGAUUUUAUAAUAUUCAUCAUACUAUGAGUAAUCAGGAAUUCAUACAGACUUGAUAUGUGAGGCUUCUCGUGACAUGGCAGUUCCUAUUGGCUCCCUCUGGUGGGCAAAGUGUCAGUGAAGUCCUCUGGGUCAGUCACAGCUUGCUUUGUGAAAAACUACACGUAAGCCAUAUUAGGUGUAAAAGUGACUUAAAGGCGGUCCCUCGGAAUCUCUAAAAGAAAGUGAACAGCCAGAGAAUUGAAGGUAAGGGGUGCUGUUAGAGCUCUGAGAUCGCGGGUGUGGACAGCCUGACCCACGUGCCCCUCGGCUCCGUCUGCCUUCUCCUUCCUGACAUUCUCCUUCCAGGCCUGUCAAUACCGGAGUUUGCUGGCUCCAACUCGUCACAGUCUGUCAGGAGUUUCCUGCAGGACUCAGUGCUUUUAGCCGGGAGAGGGGUCUGCUUCAUGUUCCUGCCACACCUUAGACAGGGGAUGAGACGCCCUGGCAGAACAGCCUCUGCCUUUCACCGUCAAAGUAGAAGUGGCAGACCCCGGCCUAUCUUGACUUGGAGAAAUUAAGAAAGGCAUUAAAAAGUAUAAGUGCCGAAUUUUAGACAUUUUUGGACUUUGCCAGUAACUAUCUGAAUGAUCUUGGAGAAUUCCCUAACCUCUUUUGGUUUUGUUGGUUUUUUCCCUCAUUUUUCUAAUUGUUGAACCAGGGACUUGGGCCAAGUAGGCCUGAAGGACCUGGCCGACAGGAUGGCCUGUGACUCUGCCUGAUCUCCCAGAGUCCCGGGACAGAGCACUCCCUGGCCCUUCCCACCACUGUCUACCUACUCGAAAUUUUUCACAUAGAUGAAAAAGAGUUUGUUUUUUGAAGUUGGUAUUUAGUCUAUUUCCACAAAUGUCUUGAUUUAAUAUCAGUUGUAUACUCUAAAAUGGACUGAGAUGGGGGACAUGAUUUUGAAGUUGACUUUUAAAAUCUAAUUAUAAAACUAGUAAGUGCUCAUUAAACAGAAUGAAGAAGAAAAUAAAAUGUACACAUAGGACUCAACUGGCCAGAAGUAGCCACUGUCACACUGUUACAGUUUUGGUGCAUGUUUUUCCAGACUUCUGCCUAUGAAACAAAACCAGAAUUUUUCUACAGUACCACCACAUAGGCCCUCAUUGUUUGUUUUCUUGCCUUUUUUACUUAAUAACAAUGUAUUAUAAAUGUUUUCUCUAUGUCAGUAUAUAUUGCUCAAUGCAACCAAUUUAUUGGCCACAUAGCUGCUAAAAAUCUGAAACUUGUUUACCUGAACCCUUCCUGGAAGAUAUUUAGGUUGCUUUCAGCUCAUUCCUCUUUUUCAAAAACAGUAUAGUUAAAGCAAGUUUAAAAUCUUUUAAAAAGAUUAGGAGGCAAAAAAUAAAUUUGCCUUUCUUGUUCUCUAUUUAAUCUUUUCUCAAAUAUAAAAGUUGGAUGUCCUGAUGUUGCCAGAGGAAAGUUAUCCCUGAUUUUGGGGGAAAGUGUUCAGUGUGUCAGAAUUUAUACCAGCUCUGGGAUGACUGGCGUAGACAGGGGGUGAGGCCACAGGAGCAGAGCCUUGGAGAGGGAUGGUAGGAGUCAGCAGAAGCUCACUGUGUUUCAGUGACACUGCGGAGACCACUGCGUAGGCGUGGGGCGUCUUGGUGAGCAGUGUGAAGUGAACUUGGCUUUAUGGACCUGUUACAUUUCAGACAAAAGUCAUCGGCGAUCCCGUAUCUCAAUUAUCACUUGAAAAUCUAAGGAAACAUUUACUGUAGUAACAAAAUCAUCUCUAAAAAUAACCUUAAUAUGAUAAAGAAUGUAAGUGGCCCAUUUAAAGAGAACUUUAAAAUUUUGUAGUGCAAUAUAGAAGUUUUGUAUAAAUAGAAAAACAAUUGUGUAGCUAGGAAGGAAGAAAAAGUGUUGUGAAUACAUCCAUUCCUAAAUCAGUUGUAGAUUUAGUGCAUCUUUAAUCAGGAUUCAGACAGAACUUUUUUUGAGAGGAACCUGAAAGUCAUUCUGAAAUUUAUGGAGGAAAAAAGGUGUGUGAGAAUAGCUAGUUUUUGAAGAGUAGUAGCAGAUCAUGUGUGGGGGGUGAGGGACUAGCCUUUGCAGGUAUUGCAACGUUUCAAGCAGAAGAUAAUAUAAGGCUUGUCAGGGAAGCCUGUUAGGCCAGGUGUGUGUGUAAACUUACCUUGAUGAGGGCGGCAUUGUCAGGUUUAUGUCAUGAUGAUUUGGGGAUAAUUGUUAGAGUAAAACUGAAGAAAAUGGAUGUGGAUGUUGUCCCGUCUUCUAGAAGAGGAUGGUCUUUCUGAAUUUAAAAACAAGCAGCAGCUGUCCUCAUGACGGUGUGGGGUGGUUUCGAUGGUGCUCAUGAUGGAGCUUCAUGCAGACACAGCAUUGCUCCCUCGCUGGGCUGGUGGUGAGCGCCCCGGCGUGUGCACGAUGCAGGACUUGCUUGGUGUCACUAAAGGAUAAAAACUUGCUACCAAGGGGUCUCCCUGGUGGUGUGUAAGGGGUUAAGUCUUAGCACUCUGAAGCUGUCUGAAGCCCCUGCAGCAUGAGUUUGAUCCCCUGCCAGGAAGCUGACCCACAUGGUGCGGCAGACCUCUCCUGUCUCCCCGUGGUCCCCUCUCAGCAGUGGAUUUCAGUGCGUCUACCUGUUCUGCUCCCCACUCUGUCUCUGGUGGAUCCUACCCCUGCACCUCUGGCCUGCAUAAAUUCUCUUAUGCAUAAAUCUUUAAAAAAACCCAAAUCUUGCUACUGAGACCAGAUACAACCAAAACAACGUGUGCGCAGUCAAAACACUCCAAGCGUGAUUGGCAGGAAUCCACCAAAAUGUUCACGAUGGCUUCUCUGAGUGAUGGGACAAUGGAUGAUUCUUCUGUCUCUAUUUUCCUGAAUUUCUUUAAUGAAUAUAUGCUACCUUGGGAACAAAAAGCCAGACAGAACAAGUAAAAUUCCCAGCAGAUGAGUUUUUAUUUGCUGUGGUAGGAAAUGGAGACAAAUUAAUACCUUUUGAUUAGAAAGAGGUCACGAGUAGCCCUGUCUAAUUAUAUGUCAGGCGCACCACAGAGGGGCCCCCAUCUGAAGGAAGUCUGCGGUGAAGCCUUUCGUGAAGGGAGUAAUUUUCCUGUAACUCGUGGAUUUUCAGUCCAGACUUUCUGGACCUGUACAAGAAGAUCGUCCACAAAUGUUGCGUUGAUGCCUUCGCGUUCUCUUGUCAGCCUAAGACAAAGCCCGCUGAGCGCCACUUCUGCCAGCACUGGCCGGUAGUCCUCGGCUUCCUCGCCUGCUGGGUGCCCUCACUUGUGAGGAAACCGAGGUCCGGAAGGCCAAGCGGCCCGCUGGGGAGCGUGU